rnacentral:rRNA from 1 species
GACGAACGCUGGCGGCGUGCUUAACACAUGCAAGUCGAACGGAAAGGCCCUGCUUUUGUGGGGUGCUCGAGUGGCGAACGGGUGAGUAACACGUGAGUAACCUGCCCUUGACUUUGGGAUAACUUCAGGAAACUGGGGCUAAUACCGGAUAGGAGCUCCUGCUGCAUGGUGGGGGUUGGAAAGUUUCGGCGGUUGGGGAUGGACUGGCGGCUUAUCAGCUUGUUGGUGGGGUAGUGGCUUACCACGGCUUUGACGGGUAGCCGGCCUGGGAGGGUGACCGGCCACAUGGCUACUGAGAUACGGACCAGACUCCAACGGGCGGCAGCAGUGGGGAAUAUGGCACAAUGGGCGGAAGCGUGAUGCAGCAACGCCGCGUGCGGGAUGACGGCCUUCGGGUUGUAAACCGCUUUCGACUGUGACGAAGCGUGAGUGACGGUAAUGGGUAAAGAAGCACCGGCUAACUACGUG